rnacentral:rRNA from 1 species
CGUGUAGGCGGUUAGGUAGGUCCGUUGUGAAAACUCGAGGCUCAACCUCGAGACGCCGAUGGAAACCAUCUGACUAGAGUCCGGAAGAGGAGAGUGGAAUUCCUGGUGUAGCGGUGAAAUGCGCAGAUAUCAGGAAGAACACCCGUGGCUAAGGCGGCUCUCUAGUACGGUACUGACGCUGAGACGCGAAAGCGUGGGGAGCGAACA